CCUACGGGAGACAGCAGUGAGGAAUAUUGGUCAAUGGACGCAAGUCUGAACCAGCCAUGCCGCGUGCAGGAAGACGGCCCUAUGAGUUGUAAACUGCUUUUGUACGAGGGCAAACGCAGAUACGUGUAUCUGUCUGCAUGUAUCCUACGAAAAAGGAUCGGCUAACUCCGUGCCAGCAGCCGCGGUAAUACGGAGGAUUCAAGCGUUAUCCGGAUUUAUUGGGUUUAAAGGGUGCGUAGGCGGUCGGAUAAGUUAGAGGUGAAAUCCCGAGGCUCAACUUCGGAAGUGCCUCUGAUACUGUUCGACUAGAGAGUAGGAGCGGUAGGCGGAAUGUGUGGUGUAGCGGUGAAAUGCUUAGAGAUCGUACAGAACACCGAUUGCGAAGGCAGCUUACCGGGGUACUUCUGACGUUGAGGCACGAAAGCGUGGGGAGCGAACAGGAUUAGAUACCCCUGUAGUC
rnacentral:rRNA from 1 species